GGUUUUUCACUGUCUCUACUAAGUGUACACUGUUUGUUCGAGUUUGAAAAGAAGUUUGGUUUUACAAAUUGGUUUUGCUUCGAUCGUUGGAUACGAUUAUCGAUGCAGAGAAAUUAGAACUCGUCCAGAUAGAAUCAUUUUGUUCGAGUUAACCAUCGUAAUAGUCUAUAUAUAUAUAUAUCGACAACUCGAUACCAGGAAAAGUAGUUGGAAAAUACAGGUUAGGAAUUGGGUUGACACAGAUGAAUAAUAUAUCUUGAUGAUUUCAUUUCUCGUUUUGCUUCGAAGAAUUUUGUUUCAGAAGAAUUUCGAUCAGGAUCAAGACACAUGGACAUACGUGAAUUUCAUCAUAAAUUGGCAAGAUGUUCAAAAAGUCUAUAAUUAACGCGAUUAAUUGGCAAAACUGGAUGCAUAACGUACAUCUUAUCCCAUGUAAUCGUUCUGUCAAGAGGAACAAAGACAGAGAAAUCUCAAAAUGGAGUUCGUACAAAGCGAAGGACGUACACGAUAAUUUCACCCGUGUGCGCAAUCUUAUCCAUGAUAUCGACGUCUCCGUACAGGUGAAUUCACUCUGAUUACAGAUUCAGCCAACCUGAAAAUUACGCGGUCGAUUCUCCGUGACGAGCAAGAGAAUGAGAGAGAGAGAGAGAGAGAUAGAGAGAGAGAAAAGAAGGUGAUGAAGUCGAAUCAGGUAUUCAUGAGAAAGAGAGAGAUUGAUAAACAACAUCACGUAAUUUCGCUUAUAAGAUCAAAUUACAGUCGGCGUCGAAUUAAAGACCGUUCAUUUUCUGCCUGUUUAUUCGCGAUUCAUUCGUAAAAUGUGUACUAUAGUCUUGA